rnacentral:lncRNA from 1 species
GUGAACUGAGAUCACAAAGGUGAGUUGGGCAAACACAGUUAUGGAUUCUGAGUAAUAUUUCAUUGCCAAUCAAAGUAACGACUUUCUUUUGCUUGCCCUUUUUCUUUCCCUCUCUCACUUUGAUUUAUACCCUGGAGUUUUGCUCAGUGAUUUUUCAGAAGCUUCAGAGAACUCAAAAUAAACAUGUUUAGUGUUGAAUGGAUUCAUCUUCUUUUUUCCCCUAAGUAAGUUCUUUGCCGUGUUCAUAGAGCUGCCAUUCAGCCCGUCUGUCUCUUGAUGACAGCCUCAUCUAUCGUCCUGAAACUAGAGCUGUCCAAGGCAGAGACAUGCUUUCGGAGGAAGUGCAAGUUGCUUGUACGGAGUAGUGGCAGUAACAAGCCCUUAAAAUUGUCUGCCCUCAGGGUUAGGAAAUGUGUCUUAUCUAGGCCACUGGUCAAGUUACCACAGCUGUAUGAGCAAAAGUCUAGGCUUGUCUGAAAGUCUGUUGGUGACAGUGGGGGGUUGUGCAGGGACAGGGUCCAGGUGCAAGGUCAGGGUCCAAGUUUGGGAAAUACCUCCUGUAUUGACUCUGCACAUCAUAGGUACACUUCACUUCAGAUGAAAACAUCAAAUUGUGCACAAAAGAUAGCUUCUGACGUAUGUUAUAACUAGAAUUGUAAAGCACCAAAAGGAGCUGGAGCUUUCAAUCAGGCCUUGCAAUCGAUUUCAGCCUGCGUUCUCAGAGCUGGGGCCACCUCCUGCUUUCUAUGGAAGUUCCUGCUCUGCUGAGACGGAGAUGCUUCUGCCCGGAUCCAAGGAGGAAUCGUCAGGGCCUGGGAGACAACAGAGAGCUGAAGCAAGGGCAGGACCAGCACAGCUGCUGCAUGGGCGGGACAAGGUUGCUGGGUUUAAAGGUGCCCCGAAGGCUGGGGGAAGAAGCACCUCCUCCCUUUUCUGCACGUCCAAAAAUCCAAGAACACUAGAGCCCAGCGACAAUUCUGGGAGCAAUUCACAAGGAUAUCCCUUUUUUAUUAACUUACAUUUGGUCUAAGUUAAUGACUUUUUUUUUUUUUAAGUGGUGAUAAAAGCACUUAGAUCUGUAAUUGAGAGCAGAAUUCAAAGCUUUGCAUCUGUGGCUGGAGACAGCAAAAUCCCGGCUGCAGUUGCUAUCGACAGAAAGUCCCUCCUGGUAAUGGUAUCACUCCUCAGUCCUCACCUAUUUGGCCAAAGCUCAGCCAGCUCAGUCCGACAGCACAGUCUCCAAAGUGGAGAGGGCGUAUCAGAGCGAGCAACUGAAUGGUUAGAAAAUAAUCAACGGAAGGCUUCUUUGGACCUCUUUUUCUCUCACAUCAAAAGCUAUCUUUACCAGAAAAUUCCCUGGGAAACUUCUGGACUGG